rnacentral:rRNA from 1 species
AGCAGCCGCGGUAAUUCCAGCUCCAAUAGCGUAUAUUAAAGUUGCUGCAGUUAAAAAGCUCGUAGUUGAAUUUCGGGACCAUCAUGUUGGUCGUGCCUCGGUACGUACUGGCAUUGUUGGUUUCUCCCUUCUGACGAACCAUGAUGUCAUUUAUUUGGUGUCGUGGGAAAUUAGGACUGUUACUUUGAAAAAAUUAGAGUGUUUAAAGCAGGCUCACGCUUGAAUACAUUAGCAUGGAAUAAUGAAAUAGGACGUUUGAUUCUAUUUUGUUGGUUUCUAGGAUCGGCGUAAUGAUUAAUAGGGAUAGUUGGGGGCAUUAGUAUUCAAUUGUCAGAGGUGAAAUUCUUGGAUUUAUUGAAGACUAACUGCUGCGAAAGCAUUUGCCAAGGAUGUUUUCAUUAAUCAAGAACGAAAGUUAGGGGAUCGAAGACGAUCAGAUACCGUCGUAGUCUUAACCAUAAACUAUGCCGACUAGGGAUCGGAUGAUGUUAAUUUUUUAAUGACUCAUUCGGCGCCUUACG